UGUGAACCACGGAAGCUAAAUUUUAUUUGCAAAAUUUUCAAAUUUCUGUAAAGAAGUUUCAAUUCCUUGCGAAUUUGGACAGCAUCCAAGCCUCAACUAAAGCUAGUUCAAUAGUUUUCUUUUAGUUGAUCGAUAGCCAUGGGGAACAGCAUAUCGGCUGCUGAAAUAAUUGCUACCAACAUCGUUCACACUGAAGCCGCUAAUGCUUCGAAGUUGCCCCCGGGACAUCCCCCAAUGCCAGGCGGUAGCAUGAGCAUUGACGCGGCCGGAGUAAAUCCAGCACCGGAAUGUCCAAUGCACAAAAAAGAACCAACUCAGCCAGUCUUUAAGGAAAAUCCUGUGUUAGUUUCCGAAUGUCCAGUUGAACACGAUCAGAGUGACAUCAACCCGCUCAGUAUGGUAAAAUUUUAACAUGAGCGAAAACAAUACUCAUGUAGUUAUUAAAAAAAGUUUGGAAACGAUGCAGAUGCCGCCGAUGAACCAAAAUCCUGCGCCCGGUCAACCGUUCCCGUCGCCUACGGAUCGAUAAACGUCUUCAAUUCCAAAAGUCACAGAAGAUGGUCUCCAGGAGUUUUGGGUCUAUCCCAGCCAGCAAAUGUUCUGGAAUGCCAUGCGCGCAAAGGUUGGCGCUGGGAAAAAGAUGACAUCAAACAGAAAGACAUGGAUCAUUAAGAUACGCAACGCCAACAACGAGCAGGCCUGGCAGGAGGUUCUCAAAUGGGAAGCACUGCGCUUUCGCGAGUGUGGCAAUCCCAGGCUGAAGAGUUUUGACUCAACACUUCCACCUUAUUGGUGAAGGUGACCCAAUUUCUUGAGAGGUCGCAGGGAUACAUCAGGAGCUGUUUUGAUAACUUCAAAAAUUAACCAGAACAAUUGUUAAGGUUACCAGUAAUGCGCCGAAGGAAAAUUCUAUGGUAUCAUUAUGAGCAAGCAACAGGAUGUAAUGUGAAUUCGUUGUCCAAUUAUUCUACAUCCAAAAAGUCGAAAAUCAUAGAUUAUUCGCUUAGAAAGAAAAGGUUAUCUUCAAAUGAAAAUUGCUCCAACAUAGAAAUAUUCGAAUUUUUAAGCACUUUUAAUUACUUGGCGAAAAUAUCAACCAUUUAAUUUUGAAACGAGAGCUCGGUACCCGAAUCAACGAAAUUGAGUUCCAAAACCCUGAUCCGGUCCUUGUUGAAAUAGACCUUGGAAAUCAGAAAUCGGUGUUCUACUGCUUUGCAGAAAAUCUGCGACUAAGCGAAGGUACGGAUGAUUUAGUCACAGCUCUGACUGAUUUGCUAGCGGUUCAUUUUGUACAUUACUUUAGGUACAAUGAACAUUGUUCAAAAUUUAUGCUCCUCAUUCAACAAUAUUCCGCGAAGGUUAUCGACGAUAAAGCAUUUAGGUCCCAAGCCAAACGAGUCGGAUUUGUCCAGAAAAAGGUGGUCAGAAUCAUUGCCGAAUUGUCUGCUCACGAUCCUAAAGCAUCUUCCGAUGAAGAUAUUUUAUGAGCAUGUUCAUAUGUCUAAUUAUAAAGACAUAAAAAAAAUAUUUUUUUAAUACUGCAAUAGCGAGUUCAACUUGAAUUCGUUGGUUACUGCUACAAGCAGCAUAAGCAUGCAUAAUUUUAUUGUGUCGUAGUAAAUGAACUAUAAUUAUUAAGAAUUAAAACAGUUUAUCUUACAUUUUGUGUUUUUAUUUCUGAGCUGAGCCUGAGCUAGUACAGGAAACGCAAUAUUACAGCACUGUAAUUUUGAAGUAGCCUGUCAUUUUGGAGGAGCUUGUAAUUUGAAAACCUGUGAUUUGAAAGCAGCAUGUAAUCU